GACGAACGCUGGCGGCGUGCUUCAUACAUGCAAGUCGAACGAGAAGCAAGAGCUUGCUCUUGUGGAAAGUGGCGGACGGGUGAGUAACACGUAGGAAAUCUGCCCUUUAGCGGGGGACAACAGUUGGAAACGACUGCUAAUACCCCAUAUGAGCUAAGUUGAAAUACUUAUCUUGAAAACUCCGGUGCUAAAGGAUGAGCCUGCGCCUGAUUAGCUAGUUGGCGGGGUAAAUGCCCACCAAGGCUAUGAUCAGUAGCUGGUUUGAGAGGAUGAUCAGCCACAAUGGGACUGAGACACGGCCCAU
rnacentral:rRNA from 1 species